UACGUAGGGUGCGAGCGUUAAUCGGAAUUACUGGGCGUAAAGCGUGCGCAGGCGGUUUUGUAAGCCAGAUGUGAAAUCCCCGGGCUUAACCUGGGAAUGGCAUUUGGGACUGCAAGGCUUGAGUGCGGCAGAGGAGACUAGAAUUCCUGGUGUAGCAGUGAAAUGCGUAGAUAUCUGGAGGAAUACCGGUGGCGAAGGCGGCAUCCUGGACCAUUACUGACGCUGAGGCGCGAAAGCUAGGGGAGCAAACGGG
rnacentral:rRNA from 1 species